UACGAAGGGUGCUAGCGUUGUUCGGAUUUACUGGGCGUAAAGCGCACGUAGGCGGCUCGGUAAGUCGGGGGUGAAAUCCUGGAGCUCAACUCCAGAACUGCCUUCGAUACUGGCGAUCUUGAGUCCGGAAGAGGUGAGUGGAACUCCUAGUGUAGAGGUGGAAUUCGUAGAUAUUAGGAAGAACACCGGUGGCGAAGGCGGGUCUCUGGGCCGAUACUGACGCUGAGGAGCGAAAGCGUGGGGAGCGAACAGG
rnacentral:rRNA from 1 species